rnacentral:lncRNA from 1 species
GCUUGUUUUUUCAAGAGUAUAUUUUUACUCUGAUAAAUAAUAAACUUUUCCAGAAGGCUAUCAGUGUGGCUGCCUCCUGCUGGAAGCCUGGGAUGCUGGAAUCAGGCAACUUCCUGUCUGUCUGUACAAGACACUGGGCUGCACUCUAAGAAUAUCUUGGCUCUCCCCAGGAUCUGGACCAUCACAGGGCCACAGAAAUUGUCCACUCUCUCCUCUGAAGAGAACAGAGCUGCCCCUCAUCUUCCAGCCCAGCUCUCCUGUUUUCUCAGCACCUCAGCGGGACAAGACAGACAGAGCCUGCCAGAACCAAGGAAUUUGGGAACUGCAAAGUGAAGAGAUUACUGUGCUGAAGGAGCUGGGAAGUGCCCCAUGUGGAGCGGUCCAUCUGGGCAGGUGGAAGGGGCAGUGUGAUGUUCUGUUAAGGUGACCAGGGAGAGCUCCAUGUCAGAUGAAUUCUUCCAGGAGGCCCAGACCAUCAGGUCAGUUUCUUCUGGGGAAUCGUGGUUUAGCCCUCACCAUGAGAGGAUGUUCAUGGUAACAGGUCUGUCUGUGACAUCUGUAAGGCCUGAAUCAAGAGUCCACAUAUCACAGAAUAAAUGGAACAUUACUCAGUCAUAAAAAAUGAAAUAAUGCCAUUUCAGCAACAUGGAUGGAUGUAGAGAUUAGCUCAUUAAGUGAAGACACAAAUAUCAUGAUAUCACUUAUGUAUGGACUCUAAACUGUGAUGCACGUGAACUUCUUGACAAAACAAACAGUCCAGAGAAAACAAACAUAAGGUUACCAAAGGGGAAAGGGAUGGGGGAUUAAUUAGGAACUUGGUAUUAACAGGUACACACUACUAUAUAUAAAAUUGAUAAACAAGGCCUUCCUGUAUAGCACAGGGAACUAUAUUCAAUAUUUGUAAUAGCCUAAUAAUCUGAGAGCAUGUAUGUAGGUGUGUUUUAUAUAUAUGUAUUAUAUA